rnacentral:rRNA from 1 species
CAGCCGCCGCGGGAAUACGUAGGUCCCGAGCGUUGUCCGGAUUUAUUGGGCGUAAAGGGAGCGCAGGCGGUUUAGUAAGUCUGAAGUUAAAGGCAUUGGCUCAACCAAUGUAUGCUUUGGAAACUGUUAGACUUGAGUGCAGAAGGGGAGAGUGGAAUUCCAUGUGUAGCGGUGAAAUGCGUAGGUAUAUGGAGGGACACCGGUGGCGAAAGCGGCUCUCUGGUCUGUCACUGACGCUGAGGCUCGAAAGCGUGGGUAGCGAACAGGAUUAGAUACCCCGGUAGUCCCUGUCUCUUAUACA